rnacentral:pre_miRNA from 1 species
GGGGAGCGCCAGAUAUUAGGCUGUGUCCCCGGCGCCCUGUGCUCCUGGGCCUGCACUUUUGGAAUCCCACUCUCUGUUGGGAAGCUCCCU